rnacentral:rRNA from 1 species
AGGAUGAACGCUGGCGGCGUGCUUAACACAUGCAAGUCGAACGGUGAAGUGAGGAGCUUGCUCCUUGCGGAUCAGUGGCGAACGGGUGAGUAACACGUGAGUAACCUGCCCUUGACUCUGGGAUAAGCGUUGGAAACGACGUCUAAUACCGGAUACGACCUCCGAAGGCAUCUUCUGGAGGUGGAAAGAAUUUCGGUCAAGGAUGGACUCGCGGCCUAUCAGCUAGUUGGUGAGGUAAUGGCCCACCAAGGCGACGACGGGUAGCCGGCCUGAGAGGGUGACCGGCCACACUGGGACUGAGACACGGCCCAGACUCCUACGGGAGGCAGCAGUGGGGAAUAUUGCACAAUGGGCGCAAGCCUGAUGCAGCAACGCCGCGUGAGGGACGACGGCCUUCGGGUUGUAACCUCUUUAGUAGGGAAGAAGCGAUGUGCUUGUCACAUCAUGACGGUACCUGCAGAAAAGCACCGGCUAACUACGCGCCAGCACGG